UACGGGGGGGGCAAGCGUUGUUCGGAAUUACUGGGCGUAAAGGGCUCGUAGGUGGCCAACUAAGUCAGACGUGAAAUCCCCAGGCUUAACCUGGGAACUGCGUCUGAUACUGGAUGGCUUGAAUUCGGGAGAGGGAUGCAGAAUUCCAGGUGUAGCGGUGAAAUGCGUAGAUAUCUGGAGGAAUACCGGUGGCGAAGGCGGCAUCCUGGACCAUUACUGACGCUGAGGCGCGAAAGCUAGGGGAGCAAACGGG
rnacentral:rRNA from 1 species